GAUGAACGCUGGCGGCGUGCCUAACACAUGCAAGUCGAACGGAGAUACGAUGUGAGCGAGAGGUGCUUGCACUGAUUAAUCUUUUCGUAUCUUAGUGGCGGACGGGUGAGUAACGCGUGGGUAACCUGCCUUAUACCGGGGGAUAACACUUAGAAAUAGGUGCUAAUACCGCAUAAGCGCACGGUGUCGCAUGACACAGUGUGAAAAACUCCGGUGGUAUAAGAUGGACCCGCGUCUGAUUAGCCAGUUGGCAGGGUAACGGCCCACCAAGGCGACGAUCGGUAGCCGGACUGAGAGGUUGAACGGCCACAUUGGGACUGAGACACGGCCCAGACUCCUACGGGAGGCAGCAGUGGGGAAUAUUGGGCAAUGGGCGAGAGCCUGAACCAGCCAAGUAGCGUGAAGGAUGAAGGUUCUAUGGAUUGUAAACUUCUUUUAUAAGGGAAUAACAGACGUUACGUGUAGCGUUUUGCAUGUACCUUAUGAAUAAGCAUCGG
rnacentral:rRNA from 1 species